rnacentral:rRNA from 1 species
GACGAACGCUGGCGGCGUGCUUAACACAUGCAAGUCGAACGAAGUGGCGAACGGGUGAGUAACGCGUAGGUAACUACCUAUUAGAGGGGGAUAACUAUUGGAAACGAUAGCUAAUACCGCAUACUAGUAGAUGGACCUGCGUUGUAUUAGCUAGUAGGUAGGGGAAUGGCCUACCUAGGCAACGAUACAUAGCCGACCAGAGGGGGGGAGCGGCCAAACGGGGCCUGAGACACGGCCCAGACACCAACGGGAGGCAGAAGUAGGGAAUCUUCGGCAAUGGGGGGAACCCUGACCGAGCAAAGCGGCGUGAGUGAAGAAGGUUUUCGGAUCGUAAAGCUCUGUUGUUAAGGAAGCGGUACUUAACCAGAAAGGGACGGCUAACUACGUGCCAGCAGCCGCGGUAAUUC